rnacentral:ncRNA from 1 species
CCCGGUACGCCGGGACGAAAUGUGGUCGGCUCGACCGACUGAAUCGCAAG